CUUCGCCAGGCUUCCAGCUGACGGACCCUGGGGGCUGAGCUGGGAAGGGAGUUAAGGCGGCCCAGGAUCCACCACCAGCCGUGGCCUCCACCCUUCUCAGGCCAGACUUCCAAUGGAAAAACAAACCCACCCGUCUACACUGGAUGCCAGAGGCAGGCUGGCACGCCCUGACUCGGUGCUGGACCGGCAGUGAGCUGGGCACACGCAUAUAUGGAAUAAGACUCAGACACUGAGGGGUGUACAUGUUGGGACCAGAGUCUGUACACCUGACAACACCCCCAGGGGGUGACACAGCUCCUCCUGACUGUCCAUCCUUUCUGGGCUCAUGAAGCAGCCAAGUGUCAACUCUCUUGGACUUUCCUCUCCCCAGGGUGGUCCUGUCUCCCAGGGCCGCAGACGGCUGCACAGCUCUGGAGCACCCCAGAGGCCAAAGCUCUGCGUCCAUGUCACAUCCAGCCGCACCUUCCGGGAGAAGCAUGAGCCAUUGCAAGGAGAACGUUGGUUCAGAGCGAGCUGGCCCUGGGUUCCGAUC